rnacentral:lncRNA from 1 species
GCUAAUUUUGUGAAAAGGUCAUUCAGAGAACAUCUGUAUCCUUGAACACACUCCAACCACAUCCUGAGAAUUCAGCCUCAUACUAUAUUUGGUUUCUUAAGAUUUUAGAGUACUGGUGUGAAAUAAAUUCAGUAAGAGCAAAGGGCAGUGACAUCACCUCUAUGGGGUAAAGAUCAGAGGUCACUAUCUCUCUUUGGAUGGUUA